ACAGGGCGAAAGCCGCGAUGCUCACACCACACAGGCCGCUUCGCGCAGCAUUCUCUGUGAGCGGGCUAAGGUCUGAGAAUUCUAGUCUCCCUCGAUGAGCUCUAGCUGGGCUCGGUCUUGACGGACCGCAGCGGCGUACCAGACAACAACCGAAGACUGCAUCGACGAGCUGGCGCUCACGCUCACACGGAGUCACUCGUCGAUCCUGAAGACUCUAGUAUAGACGAGGGAGCAGUGGAUCACGCUGACAAGUGUGGGGGGUUUGGAAUGGUCGCGGGGACUGGGCGGGUCGCUCUGCGGAGUGGUAUGUGGUCGUCUCCAUUGUUGUGUCCAGUCUCGUGUGCUCCUCUUCGGAGGGCACAUGCUAUUGACGAUCGCGCACGGCGCGCAAUGCGCGACGUGGGUGUAGCCUCGUAUGAGGUUUGGACAAGGUGGAUGAUGGCCGCAUGCGUUUCCCGUCCUUCAGUGCACUUCGCGGCUCGCUGUUAUGACGUCUGUCGCUUGCGAAACUCGAUUCAGACUACUCUUGUUCUGU
rfam:Postia placenta Mad-698-R POSPLscaffold_330_Cont8283, whole genome shotgun sequence.